GUGGGGAAUAUUGCACAAUGGGCGAAAGCCUGAUGCAGCGACGCCGCGUGAGCGAAGAAGUAUUUCGGUAUGUAAAGCUCUAUCAGCAGGGAAGAUAAUGACGGUACCUGACUAAGAAGCACCGGCUAAAUACGUGCCAGCAGCCGCGGUAAUACGUAUGGUGCAAGCGUUAUCCGGAUUUACUGGGUGUAAAGGGAGCGCAGGCGGUGCGGCAAGUCUGAUGUGAAAGCCCGGGGCUCAACCCCGGUACUGCAUUGGAAACUGUCGUACUAGAGUGUCGGAGGGGUAAGCGGAAUUCCUAGUGUAGCGGUGAAAUGCGUAGAUAUUAGGAGGAACACCAGUGGCGAAGGCGGCUUACUGGACGAUAACUGACGCUGAGGCUCGAAAGCGUGGGGAGCAAACAGGAUUAGAAACCCGGGUAGUCC
rnacentral:rRNA from 1 species